CUUUGGUUGGAAUCAUUAUAUGCCUGUUUAACCUGAAUCGUAUCUGUUCCAAAGUGAUGGAUUGUUUCUAGAGAAAGAGAAAUUAUAUAAUGGUUUUUAUAAUUUUACAAAGGUUGAACGACUCGAAAGAUUAUCACAUCCUUGAGAGCUCAGCAGCCCCGUAGCAACAAGGCCCUUUUGUAUGCGAAGAACUGUUGGGUUGCGUUCAAAGGCAUGCGGAAUAUGCCAUGGAAUUUCAAGCGGGCCCAACGGCCGGACGUUGAAUCAUGUCGGGCGUGAACGCGCGCCUCGAUCUUCGACGAAUCAUGCCCAAAAUCGACGUGAUGUGACCUCCUCUCUGAAAAUAAUGCCACACGCCGUUUUCCCGUACUUAUCGGUUGGCUUUUCGCACGAAUCGGCAAGAUCUGAGAGUAUGCGAAGGAGGAGGAUCGACAUGGGUCCAGAACGCGUUGGACGAGACGUGGACGCGACGUGAACGUCUUCGCUCACCGGGGCCGUCUCCCCCUCCUGUUCGUUGAGGAGACCUACUUUGCACAUGGCCUACUUGCGGAAGACGACGGUCACGCGAGAAGCCAACAGCAGCAGCAGCAACAGCAAUGAACCGAUAUGUGUCUCUUGUAAAAGAGCAAGCUUCGAGAAUAUAAAGAUGGCAACGAGAGAGUUGUCUCUUUCUUUCUUUAUAGAGUCAGAGAAAGA